CCCGCCCAGGAGGACGCCCUUUCAGCCCAGGAAUCACCCACUUUCCAUUUCCAGGUUCCACCAGGCAGGCCUCGUGCCCGGGUCAGACUCGCACCUGGCUCAGGCUUCCUCUGUGCUUCCUGGUUGGUGAAACUGGGGGUCCUUCGGGAGGAUGCCCAGCACCCUGUAUGUGCACACACACCCAUACACACCCAGCACACACACACCCCCAUAUGCACACACACCCCCAUACACACACAGCACACACACCCAUACACACACAGCACACACACCCAUAUGCACAUGCACACCCAUAUAUACACAGCACACACACCCAGCACACACACCCAUACACACCCAGCACACACACACCCAUAUGCACACACACACCCAUAUACACACAGCACACACACCCAUACACAUCCAGCACACACACCUGUACACACCCAGCACACACACCCCUACACACAGAGCACACAUACAUACCCAUACGCGCACACACACAUACACACACAUACACAGCACACACACCCAUACACAUACAGCACACACACCUGUACACACCCAGCACACACACCCGUACACAGCCAGCACACAUACAUACCCAUACACGCACACACACACACCCAGCACACACACUUGUACACACCCAGGGCGUGCACACUCAGCACACACCCAUAUGCACCCACAGCGCACACACACGCACGCACACACACCCCCAUACACACAUAGCACACACAGACGUACACACACAUGUACACACACAGCACACACACGUACACAUACAGCACAUGCGUACACAUGUACGUACACACCCAUGCACACACACCUGUACACACACACAUGCACAUACUCCCCCUCCGUCUGCCAGUCCCAACAGCUGCAUCUGCACCCGCCCUGUCGGCUGCACUCCCAGGCGGUGAGGUCCACGAGGGGAGCCUGCCAAGCUCACUGCUGAGACCACUGGGCCGGGCCAGCCAGGGAGGUGCACGGGGCACAGGAUGCUGAGGAGGCAAACAGCAGGGGCAGAUGCCCGGAGGGGCAGGAGAAGCUUCCUGGAGAGGUGACAUCAAAAGGAAGGAGCAGGCUGACGGGGGCUGGCGGCUCCCCACCCACUGUGUCCCACCCUGGCCCGCUGAUAGCAGAACUGACAUUUGUCACCCACUCUCCACCUCGGGCAGCGCUGCUCACUGUCCUGCCCUUCCUUUGCCACUCCCAGGGGGUCUGUGAAAGGUCAGGCAUGUGACGUCCACACCUCUGAUGGAGAAAAGACCUUUCAGACAAAGAGAGAUGUCAAAGCCAGCAUGCCACCCAGCCGUCGCCCAGAGAUGACCCGCUGCCCCACUGCCAAGGGAUAGGCCAGCCUCCGCUGGCUCUUCAAUGGGGCGGGGGCAGCCCUCACCUCCCUACCGGCCCCGGCCAGCAGCUCUGUCCUGGGUCCAGCCCGUUGCCGGGAGUUAAACACGGGGCUCUCCAGGAGAGACCGGCACAGAUUCCGGGUGUCAGUUCCCAAAAUGCCGCCAGAGGAAGUAGCAGGACAGAACGGAGGACGCCCUCCCCAAGACGCUGGCGUCCACCUUGCUUAUAAUUUUGAAAAGGUGGAACUGCCAACUGUCCUUUGAUGAGAGAGGGUCAAAGGAGUCAUGAUAGAGGUCUCCACAAGAGUCAAACACCGCCAGUAAAUUUGUGUGAAUUGAUGUGGAAAACAGCCCAAGAUACAUCAUGAGUGACAAGGGCAGGUGGUGGCGUGGUCCGUUGUGUGAUGGAGGCCCCAGGUGAACAGAGACACUGGGGGACCACGGCUGGGGGUCACCCCUCUCCUAUGACUCUCUCUGCUGCAGCAGCUGUGUGUGACGACACGGCAUUGGCGUGUGACCGGUGACCUGGAGAGCCCGUGCCUCGCAGGCUCUGUGGGGGACGCCCCAUUGUCAGCCACGUUGGUGCGAGCCCUGGGUCGGGGACAAGCAGAGUGUUCACAGGACACCUCCCUCUGGGGUGGGUGGGGCUCCUGGGUCCUGGGAGCCAGGCUCUUCCUUCCCAUAAUUCCCUGCCUCCUAUUUGCAGAGGGUCUCCCCCAGGGGACUCGGGGGAAGCUGCACGAGUUCACAGGACUCUGGGGCGUCUGCUGAAGCCUGGGGCAUCACCCCACUGAGGCAUAGGGUGGGUGUGCCUGUGUGUGCACAUGUGCGUGUGUGCACGCGUGACCAUGCACACACACACACCCACUCACUCUUAAAGUUCUGUGCCCGUGAAGGGUGGGUUCAAACCUGAUCCUGGAGUGGGUUCCCAUCCCGGCUCUGGCACCUGCAAGUGGCUUGACCUUGGGCGGAUCAUGUCGCCCUGCUGCCUCGGCUCUCGCAUCCGCCAGGGGCCCAGGCGGGGACCGGGCUCAUGGGGCAGCGUGAGGAUGAAUCGCUCCGUCUCUGCGGAGCUCCGAGGAUGCCCCUGGCCACAGCGGUGCUCGAUGGCUGUCAUCCGGCAGCUCCAGGCCCUGAGGUGGCCGCCUUCCGGUCUAAGGCUGGAGCCGGAGGACCGGCUGUACCGAGAGGCAAGACUCCCGGUUCGAGACGCUUCCUCUCCGGGCCGGCUCCUCGGGGCACAGAGAUGAACCAUGCAGAGCAGUCGCUCCCCGUGGUAAUGUGCAGAUUUGUUUUAAUCGGCAGCACGUUACUGAGGCACAUGCGAUAACCGUCUAAUGACUGUUACACGUUUAAUCCAUUUUGUUCUCAGCGGGCUCCUGCAGUAAUUACAUUCCGCGAUGUUUAAUUCAUUACUUGAUCGUUCAUUCCAAGUUGUGUUGGGUCGGACGGCAGGCUCUCGGGCGCUGCGCAGAUGGAGCCGGGCCCUCCGCUCUGGCUCGGGGGGCUCCCAGCAGGCAGCUCCCCACUCUGGGCCGGGAUGGAAGCUGGCAGAGCGGGCUCCGGGGCAGCAGAAGGGUCCUGAGGAUGGCGGUGAAAACUGCGAAGGCUGAUGUAACAUCGGGUGAAUUAUUACAAUAUUACAAUUAUUACAAUAACUCCACAACUCAGAGAGCGACAAGUGCUCACACUUCACCUCCAACACGCCCACGAGGCCGGGGCUGGCCCGCAGUGCGUUUAAAGGGCCUGGGCGGACCCUGUGGGCUCAGACACAUGUAGCCCUGGGCGCUUUACCUCAGCUUUCCGUGGCUCAGUUUCCCCGCCUCUGAAACGGAGGUGACACUACAGUACCAAUUUCAUUGGGGCUUAAGAGGAUUGGGGUACCUGGCUUAUAGCAAGGGCAGGAAAGUGUUUAUUAAGCAAUUAAAAUCGUCACCAUCCUUGCUCAACCGGGAAGGAAGCUGAGGCACGCAGAGCUGAGAAACCAGCCUGCAUGGUCGGGCUUCUCCAGGGGAACGGCGCCCAGAGGCUGUGCAGACGUACAGAUGCGUUCACUCGGAGGGACGAGCCCACGAUGCUGGCGGCCGAGAAGUCCCGCCAUCCGCAGUCUGAGAGCUGGAGGCCCAGGGAGCCGGUGCUGUGGUUCAGUCCGAGUCUGAAGGCCUGAGAACGGGGUGGGGGGCGAUGGUGUGAGUCCCCCUCCCAGGGCAGGGCAGGACAGGCCGGACGUCCCAGCUCCUGGGCAGGCAGGGCACAAUGCUCCUCCCCACGCUUUGUUCUAUCCCGGCCCUCAGCAGGUCAGACGAGGCCCGCCCGCAUGGGGGACGGCCAUCGGCUUCUCUGCUGCCAACGAGUCAAACGCUAGCUCCCCCAGAAACACCCUCCCAGACACCCCCAGAAUAACGUUCCGUCUGGGCCCCCAGAACAUCACAUCCCUCCAGGCCUCAGGUCUUCUUGGAGCCUCAGGUCUCCCCAGAAGUCUGUCCGCCAGGCAGGUGUUUCCCGGGGUCUGGCGAAACCUCCACCAGAACCACUCAGACCCGCUUUUACGGGCAGCGUCCAUGGCCCUCACACGGCCGCUGCAGAAUCUCUGAGAGGGUCUUUGCUGCCUGCACUGAAGGCGCCCAGGCAGCUGGGCUGUCAUCAGGUUUAGCUGCUGGUGUUUGCUUGAUCCGUGCCCAGACCCUGCCCUCCAACCUCCAGAGCACGCGGGCGAAUCCUACGCCCUCAGCCACGCGGUGGAGUCACUGUUUCCUCG
rnacentral:lncRNA from 1 species